rnacentral:lncRNA from 1 species
UAAAGAUUACUAGUUCAAGUCUCAUAAACAUCAGGGUUUAUAUGAUCAUUAACUUUAGGGGUCGUGAAAUUAGUCGAAAUACACGUAAACUGACCCGAAUAACUAGCAUGCUGUGUUGCUUGGAAGAAUACUGGUGGAUCAUGACUUCCUGCGAUGAGAAAACUUAGUUAAAUAAUAUGCAAAAAUUACCAUCUUGGUGAUUUAAUAACCAGCAUGCUGUGUUGCUUGGAAGAAUCCAUGGCAAUGAAGAACAAAAUGGUAAGGAAAAGGAGGAUUUAUUUAUUAAUCCCUAAGCGAUCAGAAACGAAUAAAAAACUAAUAGCACAGAAGAAAGAAUGGCCCCAGAAAAUAUUUAAAAUAGAGGCGAAUGAAUCUUCUUCUUCUUCUUCUUCUUCUUCUUCUUCUUUUCUUUUGAAACAUUAGUCAGCAUUAGUCAAUCACGUUAACGCGUCAUGUAGCCAAAGCAAAAGAAUUCGAUGGGUUAUUGUAUUGUUGAGCAACUGUGGAUGAAAGGCACUCUCUUUUUGUAUUUUAUUAAAAGUGUUUUUUUAAAAAAAAUUAUUAUUUUUUAUUUUUUAAUGUACUAAUAUCAAAAAUAAAAUUUUAAAAUAAAUAAAAUAUUAUUUUGAUCAUUUCUAAAUAAAAAACCACUCUAAAAAAAUAACUAUUAUCAUAAUAUCAAACUUGUUUGGGUUGAUACCAAACAAGUCUAGGUUUCUGGUGUAGUUUUUUUUAGGGUAUGUUUCGAAGUGUGAUUGCGGUUGUUUUUUAAAGUGUUUCACUCGAAAAUGCAUCAAAAUAAUAUAUAUUUUUUAUUUUUUUUAAAUCAUUUUUGAUAUCAAAGCAUCAAAAUAAUAUGAGAACACCAAUAUUAAUUUGAAAAAAUUAAAAAAUUAAAAAAAUAUAAAUAUUUUUAAAACACAAAAAUAAACAUGAUCUUAUAAACAUGGCUAGGCAGGGUGCGUGAACAAGGGAUUUUCCCAGCUGGGAACGAGGGCUUCCUGUGAGCAUGCAUGUUGGGAACAAGUGUGUUUGAUAUUAUGGUAGCUUUUGUGGUUGUGAUUUUAAAAAAGUUGUUUUAUAAAAACACUUUUAGUUGAGGUUGGUUUGAUAUUUAUAUAUGUUUUGUUAAAACUGUGGUUAAAAUUGAGGUUGAACAAAAAAUAGUUUAAUGUGUUUGGUUUAGAAUGCUUUUUAAAUUGAGAUUAUAAAAUAACUAAUAUAUAUAUUGAUGGUUUUAAAUUUAAAUAUUGUAAAUUUAACUACUGUUAUUACAUCAUGAAAUAAAUAAUACUUUAUAUAAAAAAAAUUUAUUGUUCCAUUAAACUAUCUACAAUUCCAUUACAUACAAAAUUCAUCUGACAAGGACUACAGUUUCAUGUUUUUUUGAGCGUGCAACAAAAUCAGGUAAAAUAUCAUCAGGAAUAAAAUUAAGAUUACGAUCAAAUUCUGCAAAUGCUACACCAUCAUGCGAUCUCCUUCUAAUUUAUAUAAUGUCAUUGAAUAAUGUUAAGCACUAGUUUUUUUUAAAAAAAUUACUAUUCACGUGAAUAGUAUGAGUGAAUUUAAUUCACUUUGCACAGAAGAAGAAAAGCAGCUCGAAGCUGCUUUGAAUUUACCUGCAUUUUAAAUGCGAAAUGCACUGGGCCCCAUAAAUUAUAAACUACGUUUUUUACUUUACCUAACAAUUGUUUGUUGUGGUUUGCUUUAAAAACAGAAACAACCAUGUAAACAAACAGACUUUCGAGCUCUAAGAUUGAAAUUAUUAUUGUAAAUUGUAAUGAAAAAAAAUAUUUUAAUGUAUUCUUAAACAACUAAUUUGUUCUAAAAAUAACAUACUAAACUAUUUACAUAUUAACAAGACCCACCUAACUAAUUAAAAAAUAAAAAAUAAAAAAUAAAAUUGAAAAACAACUUCUAGAUUUAAUCUGCACAGUAACCUGAACUUUCGUCGGGUUUUUUAAAUUUCAUUAUAACCUAACUAUGGAUUAAAAAUUAUAUUUAUUCUUGUAGCACGAACACAUUUUAAUAUAUUCCAGGAACAAGCUGUUGAAUAUUCCAUGUCAAUCGGUGCCUGUUACAUGUGAAGUAUGAACCCAGUUGUAGUUGAAACUUUGAAAACAGGGAGGUAAUUAUAUAAUUUAGAAUGGCUGUGGAAAUGCACAAAGUAAUCCAGAGUAAUUUAUAAGAAUCAUAAUUGUUUUUUAAAAUAUUUUUUUAUCAGAAAUGUAUUAAAAUAAUAUUUUUUUAAAAUUAUUUUUAAGAUUAACACAUCAAAAUAAUAUAAAAACACCAAAAAAAUAUUAAUUUAAAAUAAUAAAAAAAAAUUCAAAUUUUUUCAAAAACGCUUUUGAAAUACAAAAACAAACAGGGCCAAAAUUUUUUCAGGCAGACUACAUUGUUGGUUUUGUCUUAAAUUGCUAACACUUUGUUGGUUUAUGUUAUGAUGUUUUGCUUGUAAUAUUUUUUACUCUGACGUGAGUGAAUAUUCAAUUACAUAUACUUCCAACUUUGACAAAAAAUAAAAUAAAAAUAAAUAGUAUUUCUGACUCUGGCGUCAAUGAAUAAACCAGUAAAAUAAUUGUAAAUCAAUGCAUGCAUAUUUUUUAUUUUUCUCCAAAAAAAAAUAAUUUUUUAGGAUGUUCUGACUCGACUGAUCACUAGCCCAAGCUACUGACCCGGCUGGGCAACAAGAACGUUAACUAAAUCACGCGCGCGUGCAUGAGCGGAUAAAGGAAUUAAGUUAGAAUGUACAUGGGAAGCGAAUUAAAAUUCAAAGUAAACAGUAACCAGUGAAUUAAAAUGAAAAGCGGGGAAAGAGAAGUUGACUUACCUGGUAGCUCUGAAGAUGAAAACGUGAUGGAAGAUUCGUCGGCUAAGCUCCUUUCUCUUUCCUUCUCCUUUGUUCUUGCUUUUCUCUGAUUGGUUUCUUCCUGUCCUUCCCCUGUUCUGUGGGUGUUUCGUUCUCCUGUGGCCUUCUGUUUUUUAUUGUCUUCUCUGUAUAUUCUCUCUGUCUAUCUUUUUCCUCCUCCCUGUUCUCUUCUUUUCUUCUCCCCCCUGUGUUUUUUUGUUUCCGUUCGUGCUCUCCCUCCUUUUCUUUUCUCCCCUUUUCUGCGUCUUUCUCUGGCCUUUUAUAAGGCCAGAGAGUGUCAGUGAUCGUUAACCAGGG